GGGUUGUGAGGUUAAGCGACUAAGCGUACACGGUGGAUGCCCUGGCAGUCAGAGGCGAUGAAGGACGUGCUAAUCUGCGAUAAGCGUCGGUAAGGUGAUAUGAACCGUUAUAACCGGCGAUUUCCGAAUGGGGAAACCCAGUGUGAUUCGUCACACUAUCAUUAACUGAAUCCAUAGGUUAAUGAGGCGAACCGGGGGAACUGAAACAUCUAAGUACCCCGAGGAAAAGAAAUCAACCGAGAUUCCCCCAGUAGCGGCGAGCGAACGGGGAGCAGCCCAGAGCCUGAAUCAGUGUGUGUGUUAGUGGAAGCGUCUGGAAAGGCGCGCGAUACAGGGUGACAGCCCCGUACACAAAAAUGCACAUACUGUGAGCUCGAUGAGUAGGGCGGGACACGUGGUAUCCUGUCUGAAUAUGGGGGGACCAUCCUCCAAGGCUAAAUACUCCUGACUGACCGAUAGUGAACCAGUACCGUGAGGGAAAGGCGAAAAGAACCCCGGCGAGGGGAGUGAAAAAGAACCUGAAACCGUGUACGUACAAGCAGUGGGAGCACGCUUAGGCGUGUGACUGCGUACCUUUUGUAUAAUGGGUCAGCGACUUAUAUUCUGUAGCAAGGUUAACCGAAUAGGGGAGCCGAAGGGAAACCGAGUCUUAACUGGGCGUUAAGUUGCAGGGUAUAGACCCGAAACCCGGUGAUCUAGCCAUGGGCAGGUUGAAGGUUGGGUAACACUAACUGGAGGACCGAACCGACUAAUGUUGAAAAAUUAGCGGAUGACUUGUGGCUGGGGGUGAAAGGCCAAUCAAACCGGGAGAUAGCUGGUUCUCCCCGAAAGCUAUUUAGGUAGCGCCUCGUGAAUUCAUCUCCGGGGGUAGAGCACUGUUUCGGCAAGGGGGUCAUCCCGACUUACCAACCCGAUGCAAACUGCGAAUACCGGAGAAUGUUAUCACGGGAGACACACGGCGGGUGCUAACGUCCGUCGUGAAGAGGGAAACAACCCAGACCGCCAGCUAAGGUCCCAAAGUCAUGGUUAAGUGGGAAACGAUGUGGGAAGGCCCAGACAGCCAGGAUGUUGGCUUAGAAGCAGCCAUCAUUUAAAGAAAGCGUAAUAGCUCACUGGUCGAGUCGGCCUGCGCGGAAGAUGUAACGGGGCUAAACCAUGCACCGAAGCUGCGGCAGCGACGCUUAUGCGUUGUUGGGUAGGGGAGCGUUCUGUAAGCCUGUGAAGGUGUGCUGUGAGGCAUGCUGGAGGUAUCAGAAGUGCGAAUGCUGACAUAAGUAACGAUAAAGCGGGUGAAAAGCCCGCUCGCCGGAAGACCAAGGGUUCCUGUCCAACGUUAAUCGGGGCAGGGUGAGUCGACCCCUAAGGCGAGGCCGAAAGGCGUAGUCGAUGGGAAACAGGUUAAUAUUCCUGUACUUGGUGUUACUGCGAAGGGGGGACGGAGAAGGCUAUGUUGGCCGGGCGACGGUUGUCCCGGUUUAAGCGUGUAGGCUGGUUUUCCAGGCAAAUCCGGAAAAUCAAGGCUGAGGCGUGAUGACGAGGCACUACGGUGCUGAAGCAACAAAUGCCCUGCUUCCAGGAAAAGCCUCUAAGCAUCAGGUAACAUCAAAUCGUACCCCAAACCGACACAGGUGGUCAGGUAGAGAAUACCAAGGCGCUUGAGAGAACUCGGGUGAAGGAACUAGGCAAAAUGGUGCCGUAACUUCGGGAGAAGGCACGCUGAUAUGUAGGUGAAGUCCCUUGCGGAUGGAGCUGAAAUCAGUCGAAGAUACCAGCUGGCUGCAACUGUUUAUUAAAAACACAGCACUGUGCAAACACGAAAGUGGACGUAUACGGUGUGACGCCUGCCCGGUGCCGGAAGGUUAAUUGAUGGGGUCAGCGCAAGCGAAGCUCUUGAUCGAAGCCCCGGUAAACGGCGGCCGUAACUAUAACGGUCCUAAGGUAGCGAAAUUCCUUGUCGGGUAAGUUCCGACCUGCACGAAUGGCGUAAUGAUGGCCAGGCUGUCUCCACCCGAGACUCAGUGAAAUUGAACUCGCUGUGAAGAUGCAGUGUACCCGCGGCAAGACGGAAAGACCCCGUGAACCUUUACUAUAGCUUGACACUGAACAUUGAGCCUUGAUGUGUAGGAUAGGUGGGAGGCUUGGAAGUGUGGACGCCAGUCUGCAUGGAGCCGACCUUGAAAUACCACCCUUUAAUGUUUGAUGUUCUAACGUUGACCCGUAAUCCGGGUUGCGGACAGUGUCUGGUGGGUAGUUUGACUGGGGCGGUCUCCUCCUAAAGAGUAACGGAGGAGCACGAAGGUUGGCUAAUCCUGGUCGGACAUCAGGAGGUUAGUGCAAUGGCAUAAGCCAGCUUGACUGCGAGCGUGACGGCGCGAGCAGGUGCGAAAGCAGGUCAUAGUGAUCCGGUGGUUCUGAAUGGAAGGGCCAUCGCUCAACGGAUAAAAGGUACUCCGGGGAUAACAGGCUGAUACCGCCCAAGAGUUCAUAUCGACGGCGGUGUUUGGCACCUCGAUGUCGGCUCAUCACAUCCUGGGGCUGAAGUAGGUCCCAAGGGUAUGGCUGUUCGCCAUUUAAAGUGGUACGCGAGCUGGGUUUAGAACGUCGUGAGACAGUUCGGUCCCUAUCUGCCGUGGGCGCUGGAGAACUGAGGGGGGCUGCUCCUAGUACGAGAGGACCGGAGUGGACGCAUCACUGGUGUUCGGGUUGUCAUGCCAAUGGCACUGCCCGGUAGCUAAAUGCGGAAGAGAUAAGUGCUGAAAGCAUCUAAGCACGAAACUUGCCCCGAGAUGAGUUCUCCCUGACCCUUUAAGGGUCCUGAAGGAACGUUGAAGACGACGACGUUGAUAGGCCGGGUGUGUAAGCGCAGCGAUGCGUUGAGCUAACCGGUACUAAUGAACCGUGAGGCUUAACCUUACAACGCCGAAGCUGUU
rnacentral:rRNA from 1 species